GGAGAGGUGCCGGAGCGGUUGAACGGGGCGGUCUCGAAAACCGUUGAACUCGCAAGAGUUCCCAGGGUUCGAAUCCCUGCCUCUCCGCCA
rnacentral:tRNA from 1 species